rnacentral:lncRNA from 1 species
AUGUUAAGAGAACAGUGGGUUUUCCUGGUUGUAAGGUUGAGUAGAUGGCACCUUCUUAAAGGACUAUGUGAGGAAGAAGUAAAUAGUACACUUAGGAGCACAAGCCCACACAAAAGACAUUCUACUGUAACUCACAUUCUGCUUCCUAUAGUGACUUUCUGUAGGUCAUUCUUUCCAGUAACAUAGUGAACCCUUUCAAUUUGCAAACAACAAAACAAAAGAUCAUAUCAGAUCACAAAAGAAAAGAUCAUCUUAAGUGGAACACAGGUGGUAUUUGUGGAAACGUAGAGAGUAGAAACUCACAGGCACAAGGAAUAAUGAGGAUUUUGUAGUUUUAUUAAUUGGAUUUUUAAAAAGAUCAUUUUCACUCACAGGUUAUUACAGUGGUUCUCAGGGGAUCCAGACAGGUAGAUCUUUGGUUUCUUCACCUAAACUACCUUAAGAGUACCCGAAUCAGUAGAAUAAAUAUUAUUGAAUGAAUCAGUGAAUUAGCUACAGUGUUAGUGGUAGACCUGACUCCUUUUACAGAAGAGGUAAACAGAGAUCCAGAGAGCUCAGGUAAUGUAAUUCUAGGCCAUGAAAGAGAUGGAAAUGCCUUUGUUCCACUCGAGUGCAGCACAAAGAAAACAGGCAGACUCCUCUGAGUAGCCCCUGGGGGUUCGUGAAGGGUUGCUCUCCUGUCACUCUCCACCUUCAGAUGUCAUGGCCUUUGUCUGUUUAACUUUACCAGCAGUAACAAUUAUUGAGCAUUUUUAUUUCUUCCAGAAUAUAAACUAAUAAGGGAGGGGAGGACAGAGGAUAUCUAAAAAUUAGAAUUAAGGACAGGUAAAGGCGAAGGUUGUCACAAUAAGGAAAGAGAAGAGUGAAUGGAAGAGAAAGGAAAGGGGUGCACCCCUGAAGACGCUACACCCCAGGCUGGAAACAGUGCAGCGUUUUAGGUGACCAAGCGCUCCUAGAUCUUUGCUAAGUUGUAGAAUGAGUUGUACGUAACGUAAGAGCAAAACCCAUGGACCUAUUAAACUUGGACCAAGAUAGGCCCGGUGUAUCGAUUCUUAGCAUACAGAAACGACACUGCCACGCUGGAGAAGGCCAGUAGACAUUCUGUGCGUAGGCCCUGUGGAGGGAGGAAGUGGUGAUACUUGAUGAGGUCGAGCCUACCCGUGCCGGGACCAGAUCUUUGAGUACAGUAAAGUUCAGGUCAAAUAAAUGUCUUCUUCCUUCCCCAUGACUAACCUAAUACGUGAAGUAAGUUUGGUUGUCAUAUACUUUUCAAAAAAGUUUUUCAAGAGAUAAUCAGGGGAAAGUGCACACCGAAAAGAAAAUCUUUAAUCCUAAUUUGUACCUGUGCAGACUCUUACCUUCAAACCCCAAAUAGGUUUAUGAGUUGGCCAUUUUCUUUUCACUUUUGAAAAUUCAUCUAAUUGCAUCUGUUACUUAAUGUUUCCUCAUUCCCUAAAAAUGUGUAUCUGAUACUUUCCUAAAAUACUGAUGUACUGGAAAUACAAAUAAUAAAUGCUUCUAUGUAG